rnacentral:lncRNA from 1 species
AUUAUAUAUUAUAUAUAAAUAUACUAAAUAAAUAAAUGAUUUGGAAAAUACAUUGAAGGUAUAAAAAGUCAUGAGAAUUCCGAAUGCAAUUAGGUUAUAUCCGGGCACUCUGGUUCUAAACCUUGGUUCCAUCUGGGUUUUCUGGUUCUGAACCUUGGUUCUUUGGUUCGAAACCAUGGUAACUGGUUCAACAUCCGGGUUGUUUGGUUAAGGCAACCCAACUUCUUGGUUCCAUCUGGGUUCUAUUCUAGAUCAUUCUAAUGUUCCCGUUGAACAUAACAGAAGAUAACCGCAAGUCUCCGAAUAAAAAGGUAAAGUAGGUCAAAGACGCUAAAAUUAUUUUAUAACAUUAAACAUUUUAGCAUCGACGGUAAAGGAAGCUAUAAGGUAUUUAUCUUCUCAUUUUAAUUAUUUUGAUAAGGAAACUAGAUAAAAAUAAAGCAUCGUAUAGAUUUUUAAAACAAACCGAAGUAUACAGUACAUCGAACAUCCUUUUAUUUAAUUCAGUCGUUUUGUUUUCUUUUUUUUUUCCUUUACUCAUCCCUUAUUUACGUAAAUAUGUCUAGACAGUGGCGGAUCCAGAACUUUUCCUAAGGGGGCCCGCUCCAGUCAUGCUUCAAUGAUUCCCUAUAUAAUCAACCAAAUUUUUCC